rnacentral:lncRNA from 1 species
UAUAUUCUCGAAUAAAUUUGAAAAAUUACUUCUCGUAGAAUGCUGCUCUAAAUGUUUUUCAAAGGAUCGUAUCCUUAGAGAUCCUUUUCUCAGGCGCCACCAGUGUUUUGCAGCUCUUUUGAACAUAAAUAUGGCUAAUAAUACCUUUUGCUCUGAAGUGGGGUUGAGAACCUCAAACAUCUUAUCCAACUUCAUGAUCCAUUACUCAGUUACUGUCGGAUUGGUUGCUCUAGCA